rnacentral:rRNA from 1 species
UACAGAGGCCCCAAGCAUUACCCGGAAUUAUUGGGCGUAAAGGGUGCGUAGGUGGUCAUAUUAGUCGUCCGUUAAAUCCCCCGGCUCAACCGGGGAAUCGCGGGCGAAACGGUAUGACUAGAGAGCGUGAGAGGUGCAUAGAACUCUAGGUGUAGGGGUGAAAUCCGUUGAUAUCUAGGGGAAUACCGAAAGCGAAGGCAGUGCACUGGCGCGUUUCUGACACUGAAGCACGAAAGCGUGGGUAGCGAAUGGG